rnacentral:lncRNA from 1 species
UUGUAUUCCAAAAAUCAUUUGGACAGCUAUUAUUUGAAUCUAUAAUCUGUUUUAUCAUUUUAUGUCUAAAUUGUCUAUAUUUUUUCCUUAUAAGUUUAUUCAGUUCCUUUUUAUUAUAUAAUACUUUGUGUCUAAGACUGUCAUUCCAGGGCUCAGUACAUAAUUUUCUAGUCAGACUCUUUAAGGACCUAUAUUUAGAUUCACAUUCAUUAUCAUAAUAUGGCUUUUUUAUUUUUCUUCGUUUACUUCUCUUGGUUUUACCAGGGGUCUUAUUAGUAUUACUUAAAAAAGCAGCAUUGUAUAAUAUUGAUGAUAUACUAGAGACUGUAUCAUUAACACUUUGAGUUACAUUGGAAUUACAUGUAUUAUUCGCCUCUAUUUUUUGGGUUAAAUUAUCUACAUCAGAAUUAAUAGUUCCAAAGUUCACUUUCAACAUAUUGGACUUAAAAAUUUCUUCUCGUUUAGUAGUCCAUUUAACUCUUCUAAGAGUUGGCUUAACAUAAUUAUCACAUGACUUAUUUACUAAUUGAGAAUGUAUAGUUAUUGAAAUUGGACAGUGAUCAGAUAUUGUUGGUUCAAAUUGUCCUACACUAAAAUUGACAAUAUUUGGUAAAAAUUCAGAUGAACAUAAACAAUAGUCAUCAAUUGACACACCAUUAUGAUUAUAGAAAGUGAUUUUACCUUUUGAAUCACCGAGAGUUCUUCCAUUAAGGAUUCUUAAUUGAGAUUCUGUGCAUAAGUCAAGUAUUAAUUUUCCAUAGUUAUUAGUUUUUUGGUGUACUUGAGUAUUUCUAAAUUUGCAUACACUAUCUGCAACAUAAUUAGUGGGAAGAAAGUUGUCCAAACUGUCAUCUACUUCAUUUGUUAUGAAAUCUAACUCUUUACAGUUUAUAUGUGCAUUUAGAUCUCCCAUAAGGAUUACAUCCCCUGAUAUACUAUAUUUCGCAAUAUCUGCUUCAAGUUUCUCAAAAAUUUGUUUAUCAAAAUUUGUUCUUAAUGUGUAAGAUGAGUUUGAAGGAGGAAUAUAUAAAAAACAUAAAAAUACAUUUCUAUCAAAACUGAAAAAUGUCUUGUCUAGUUUAAACCACAUUAUAUCAUCCAUUGUUUUAUCCAUCAACUUUACACCUGAUAAUAUUUCCUUCUUAAAAAAUGUAGCUAAACCACCUCUAACUUUAUUUGAAUCAGAUGAUCUACAGUUUACAAAACAUUUAUAACCAUCAUAGUUUAAAAUCUCAUUGGUGGGGAUAUGCGUUUCUGAAAGACCAACAAUGUCUGCAGUCAUAAUUUGACAAAUAUUAUCAUCAUCUAGUUUACAAACUCUGUUACCACUUAUUCUUUUAAAUAAUCCAUUAACAUUCCAAGAGCUGAUAGAUAAUUGCUUUGAAACUUUUAUACACAUGAUCAAAAUCUAAAUUUGAAUUAACCAUUCAAAAUGCACAGGGGUCGGUGAACUGUAAAAC